GACGAACGCUGGCGGCGCGCCUAACACAUGCAAGUCGAACGAACGAGCGAGAGCUUGCUUUCUCGAGCGAGUGGCGAACGGGUGAGUAACGCGUGAGGAACCUGCCUCAAAGAGGGGGACAACAGUUGGAAACGCCUGCUAAUACCGCAUAAGCCCUCGGCUCGCCAUCGAGCCGGGGGAAAAGGAGCGAUCUGCUUUGAGAUGGCAUCGCGUCCGAUUAGCUUGUUGGUGAGGUAAAGGCCCACCAAGGCGACGACCGGUAGCCGGACUGAGAGGUUGAGCGGCGACAUUGGGACUGGGACACGGCAGGGACUCCUACGGGAGGCAGCAGUGGGUAAUAGAGCAAAGUGGGGGAAGUGCAGAUGCAGUGAGGCCGCGUGGAGGAAGAAGGUCUUCGGAUUGAAAUCUGCUGUUGUGGGGGAAGAUAAUGACGGUACCCAACAAGGAAGUGACGGCUAACUACGUG
rnacentral:rRNA from 1 species